rnacentral:lncRNA from 1 species
CUAUCAUUUGUGCCCAUGUAUUGUCAGGGUUAUUUUUUACACUACAACUUAAUACUGUAAUACUAAACUGUAUUAAAGCUGUUAAAUAAAUUCAAUGAAAGAGGCCUGAACUUAGUAUGAGAGUUAUGUUAAAAUAACACACAGCUGAAUAAUGGAAUCCAUAACAACCACACCAGAGAUCAACACCCAUCUGUAGAGGUGUUGCUUUAUGUAUUAAAAAAACAAUACUUAUUUAGUUUUUACUCUUUUCCUUAGUAUUCAGAAUAUAAUGUCUUCCCAUUUUCCAAAUCAAACCACAUGAAAAGGCUGCAGAGCAUGUCGGAGCUUUCAACCACACCUAACAUUCUUAACUCACAGCCAGGUUUUGUUUUGGUCAAACUCCAGUUUCUGAGGUCAAAUGUACUUUCAUGAUAAAAUUGAUUGUGCCUAAUGAUGGUUAAUGAGUUUAAUGGUCUGCUGCUUAAUUUUACCAUCAGAUUUGUGUCAGCAGCUUCAUCUGAUUCAUCCAACAAUGAAUAGAAGUGCCAACCAAAUCUUUCCUGAAAUGUCGCGUUCAGGAGAAGAGGAUGGACGGAUAGAUGUAUGGACGUACGGACAACCCGACUAGAUCAUUAGUCCGGCCUUGGAUGUCGUCAGGCAUAACAAUAAUGAGCAAACAUAAGGGGGAACGUCGAGGACAAGGAAGAGGGAAUGAAAUGCUCGUCAUCACUGUGCUGGUUGCUGAAAACAUUUAUGCCACAAGACUUCCCAGAAAAAAAUCUCAACAUUUCUCUUUGUGUAUGAAUCAAACACAAACUAUAUAACAGGUUUGAUGAGAAUACUAAAGAUGUUUUCAUCCAAUUCUCUGCAAGAAAACAAAAGAGCACAUUUCCCAAAAUGUCUUUAGAGUUGAGGAGGGUGGGUGUCAGUUUCUGAUAUUGACCUGUGAAGCCCUUUUACACUUCUUUUGAUUAAGAGUGACGCAAAUGAUCUCUGCCGACAAUAUCAAUGUUGUAUCAACAAGACAAGUCAUUGCACAUGUAGUGGUGAUUAAAGUACCGUUUGGAGUUAGAGGAAGGAACAAGGCGACAGUUAACUAAGCGUGAAAUAUAAAUCCAAUGUGUAGAGUGGAAAAGCUUCAUUAGGAGUGCCUGGUUGUACUGAUAUGUGUGCGUGUGCGUGUGUAUAGAAGUAGCAGAACUAGAGGCCUGAGGGAUUAGCAAGAAAACGAAGCUUCUUCGACUUGUUCUCAAAUUAA